AAGUGAAGUAGCUGAGAUAAAUGCAGGAGCAAAUCGCAGGAAGAUCUUUGAUGACGGAGAUAAGAGAGAAACAAGAGAAGAAGAUGACUUGCGGACUUGUCUGACGAGUUUCGCGUAAAAGGUUGCUAUUUCAAGAAGUUUGUACGUGUUCGAGAGGAGGACGGAAUCAACAUCUUGCCGUUCAUGUAAGAAGAAGAAGAAACCAUCAGGAUGGAGUAGAAGAAAUUUUCAGUUAUCCUAUUUCCUAUUUUAUUCCUCUCCUUGAAAGAAGAAAAAAGAAAAAGUUUUUUUGCAUUGAUUUAUGAACCCUAACAUGUGAUUUCAGGCUUUCAAGAUUUGCAAGAUAUUUCACGAGAGAAUCGCCUUUCUUUUCUUUUCCGAUCUUUUCCUCACAUAUUUCAUAUCCUAUUUUAAUCAGAUUCUCCAGCAUAAUCCUUUCUAUUAUUCCUCAGGGUCCCGAAAGGGACCCGCAAAUGAGUCGCGGACGUCGCUGCAUCUUCUCAGUUGAAACAAUACAAGCAAACUGUCCUUGUCAGGACAAAAAUUCAAAACUGUCCUUUUCAGGACAACUUUUCAACAUACUUGGAAUAUAAAUAAAAUGUUAUCCCCAUUAUUCCACCUUUCAGAUGAUCAGUGAUUAAUUACAGAACAGAGAAAUGAUCUUCGAAUUUGGUGAAUAUUUUUGAUCUUGAAAUAACUCUUACUCAAACAUGAUAACAAGAAUUGUGAUAUCAUCUUUUUAUCUGUAAAGAAAAACGACACACUAUGACGUAAAAAAG